AAAAACAUGUCCUUUAGAAUUUAAUUUAAGGUCUAACCUGCCCACUGAAUUAAAUGGCCGCAGUAUUUUAACUGUGCAAAGGUAGCAUAAUCAUUAGUCUUUUAAUUGAAGGCUUGUAUGAAUGGUUGGACGAAAUAUUAACUGUUUCAUAAAAAUUGAAUUAGAAUUUUAUUUUUUAGUUAAAAAGCUAAAAUAAUUUUAAAAGACGAGAAGACCCUAUAGAUCUUUAUAAUUUAUAUAUUAUAGUUAUUUAGAUUAUUUAAAUUAUGAUUAUAUGAAUUAUUUUGUUGGGGUGACAUUAAAAUUUAAUUAACUUUUAAUUUAUUUUUACAUUGAUUUAUGAUUGAUUGAUCCAUUAUUAAUGAUUAGAAAAUUAAGUUACCUUAGGGAUAACAGCGUAAUUUUUUUGAAGAGUUCAUAUCGAUAAAAAAGAUUGCGACCUCGAUGUUGGAUUAAGAUAUAAUUUUGGGUGCAGCAAUUCAAUUAUUAAGUCUGUUCGACUUUUAAUUUCUUACAUGA
rnacentral:rRNA from 1 species